rnacentral:rRNA from 1 species
AUUCUUCGGAGGAAUGAAGAGAUGGAGAGCGGCGGACGGGUGAGUAACGCGUGAGGAACCUGCCUUUCAGAGGGGGACAACAGUUGGAAACGACUGCUAAUACCGCAUGAUGUUACCGGAGGGCAUCCUUUGGUAACCAAAGAUUUAUCGCUGAAAGAUGGCCUCGCGUCUGAUUAGCUAGUUGGUGAGGUAACGGCCCACCAAGGCGACGAUCAGUAGCCGGACUGAGAGGUUGAACGGCCACAUUGGGACUGAGAUACGGCCCAGACUCC